rnacentral:misc_RNA from 1 species
GAUGAAGAACGUAGCGAAAUGCGAUACGUAAUGUGAAUUGCAGAAUUCAGUGAAUCAUCGAAUCUUUGAACGCAUAUUGCGCUCUCUGGUAUUCCGGAGAGCAUGCUUGUUUGAGUAUCAGUAAACACCUCAACUCCCUUUUCUUUUUUGAAAUGGGAGCUGGACUUGAGUGAUCCCAACACUUUUCUCACUGGAAAGUGGCGGGUCACUUGAAAUGCAGGUGCAGCUGGACUUUUCUCUGAGCUAUAAGCAUAUCUAUUUAGUCUGCCUAAAAAACAGAUUAUUACCUUUGCUGCAGCUAACAUAAAGGAGAUGAGUUCUUGUGCUGACUGAUGCAGGAUUCACAGAGACAGCUUUGCGGCUGACUUUGUAAACUCGAUCUCAAAUCAAGUAAGACUACCCGCUGAACUUAAGCAUAUCGAUAAGCGGAGGA